rnacentral:lncRNA from 1 species
CCUGGUAGUGGGCCGUUCAGGGCCACGUGGAGUUUGUUACGAAGAGUAGUGGUGUUCGUUGUCGCGACUUGCCGGAGAGUUCAGGCCGGAUGGCUGAAGCUCGGUUGGGACGUUUGGUGGAGCAGAAUAGCUCUCUGUCUCAGCAAUCUAAGAGAAGCUCAGAUGUUUCUGAGGUUGCUGACGGAUUAACUGUUGUUGGGUGU